UUUAUUUGUGCUGAUUUUGUUAUGGCUGAACAAGAUUAGAAGAAUGCUGUGCAAGAGACAGGUCUUUGCACUCAUGUAUGAGGUAUUCGUAGACUCUGGCACUUGUACUAGCAUAAGGACAACUUUAAUGAAGACAAGUGUUUCUGUAUAUCAGACUGGACAAGAGCACCUGCUAAUUGCCGUGAAUGUCACGGUAAACACAACACUUUUCUGUAAAGUAUUUAAACCUGACUGGUAGCCUGAAGCAUUGUAUGUGUAUGCUACACAAAUGGAAACGAAUUGCAGUUAUUGUUGCUAUGCUCCCACACUGCUCUUGGGGCACUUUCACGGACAGAUGUACAAGACCCCCUGGACUCUGACCCGGCAGGAUACUGACUGUGGCACAGACACCACUCCCAGCAGCACCCACAGAGGAUACUCCUCCCUCAAACAAUUGGGGAUGCACCCUUCCCACACUCAAGAACUGCAUACAUAUUCAUUCAUUUCACAUUGGGGAGGGGACACCCAUUCUUUUUCUCCCAACUAUUGUCCUAGCAUCUGCUGGGGGUAAUUGUAUUGGCCCAGAGCACAAAAGAGCUUAGCCUGCAGGCAAGUCUUAAGUUGCACUCUUCACAGCUGACACUUGUGAGCCAUCACGACUGUUGUGUAAACUCAGAAGAUAACAUUUAUUUAUUUUAAUCAAAGAGGGCACUUACUAAAAGGAUUUAGCGAGGAAAAUUAAUCCAAAUGAAUUUCUUGCCAGGUUUAGCACAACUGCUAGGAUUAAAUAUGAUACUAGUACUCAAUAUUAGUUUUACAGGUUCAUGACAAGUCCUAAAGGUUUAAUUUGACAUACGAAAGUAAUAACCCUUCUUGAGAAUAUUAGAACCACCAUAAAAGUGAAGUUUAAAUACAAAAUAUCCUUACCA